GACGAACGCUGGCGGCGCGCUUAAUACAUGCAAGUCGGGCGAGAACCAGAGCUUCGGCUCUGGGGACAGCGGCGAACGGGUGAGUAUCACGUGAGUAAUCUGCCCUCGGCACCGGGAUAGCCCGGGGAAACCCGGAUUAAUACCGGAUGGCCUCUCGAGCCCUCGGGCUCGUAAGAAAAGGCAGCUUCGGCCUCCGGCCGGGGAGGAGCUCGCGGCGGAUUAGCUUGUUGGCGGGGUAACGGCUCACCAAGGCGACCAUCCGUAGCUGGUCUGAGAGGGCGAGCAGCCACACUGGGGCUGAGAGAGGGGCCAGACGCCUACGGGAGGCAGCAGUAGGGAAUCUUGCGCAAUGGGCGAAAGCCUGCCGCAGCGACGCCGGGUGCGGGAAGAAGGCCCUCGGGUUGUAAACCGCUUUCAGGAGGGACGAAGCCACUCGGGUUAAUAGUCCAGAGGGUGACGGUACCUCCAGAAGAAGCCCCGGCUAACUACGUGCCAGCCGCCGCGGUAAUAC
rnacentral:rRNA from 1 species